rnacentral:rRNA from 1 species
CGUCAAAUCAUCAUGCCCCUUAUGACCUGGGCUACACACACGCUACAAUGGCCGGUACAAAGGGCAGCCAAGCGGUAACGCGGAGCCAAUCCCAGAAAGCCGGUCUCAGUACGGAUUGGGGGCUGCAACUCGCCCCCAUGAAGGCGGAGUUGCUAGUAACCGCCGGUCAGCAUACGGCGGCGAAUACGUUCCCGGGCCUU